rnacentral:rRNA from 1 species
CCUACGGGUGGCAGCAGUGAGGAAUAUUGGUCAAUGGGCGGGAGCCUGAACCAGCCAAGCCGCGUGAAGGAAGAAGGCGCCAGGCGUCGUAAACUUCUUUUGUCGGGGAACAAAGGGCGCCACGCGUGGCGUUGUGAGUGUACCCGAAGAAAAAGCAUCGGCUAACUCCGUGCCAGCAGCCGCGGUAAUACGGAGGAUGCGAGCGUUAUCCGGAUUUAUUGGGUUUAAAGGGUGCGCAGGCGGGAGAUCAAGUCAGCGGUAAAAUGUCGGGGCUCAACCCCGGCCGGCCGUUGAAACUGGUUUUCUAGAGUUGGAGAGAAGUAUGCGGAAUUCGUGGUGUAGCGGUGAAAUGCAUAGAUAUCACGAAGAACUCCGAUUGCGAAGGCAGCAUACCGGCUCCAUACUGACGCUGAGGCACGAAAGCGUGGGGAUCGAACAGGAUUAGAUACCCUAGUAGUC